AAUAUUUCGCAAUGGAGGGAACUCUGACGCAGCGACGCCGCGUGAGCGAUGAAGGNCUNNGGAUCNUNAAGCUCUGUCCUUGGNNNNNAAGGUCUUCGGCCUUGACGGUACCUAAGGAGGAAGCCCCGGCUAACUACGUGCCAGCAGCCGCGGUAAUACGUAGGGGGCAAGCGUUGUCCGGAAUUAUUGGGCGUAAAGGGUUCGUAGGCGGCCUUUUAAGUCAGAUGUGAAAGCCCACGGCUUAACCGUGGGACUGCAUUUGAAACUGGAGGGCUUGAGUAUCGGAGAGGGUAGUGGAAUUCCCAGUGUAGCGGUGGAAUGCGUAGAUAUUGGGAGGAACACCAGUGGCGAAGGCGACUUUCUGGACUGUAACUGACGCUGAGGUACGAAAGCGUGGGUAGCGAACA
rnacentral:rRNA from 1 species